rnacentral:rRNA from 1 species
UACGUAGGGCGCAAGCGUUAUCCGGAAUUAUUGGGCGUAAAGAGCUCGUAGGCGGUUUGUCGCGUCUGCCGUGAAAGUCCGGGGCUCAACUCCGGAUCUGCGGUGGGUACGGGCAGACUAGAGUGAUGUAGGGGAGACUGGAAUUCCUGGUGUAGCGGUGAAAUGCGCAGAUAUCAGGAGGAACACCCGUAGCGAAGGCGGCACUCUGGGCCGGUACUGACGCUGAGGAGCGAAAGCGUGGGGAGCGAACAGG